CACUAGGGAGGGCUCUCUUUCUGGAGAUUGGUCCCUUUGGAGAUAUUUACUGUGAGCCUAGGACAUGGGCUGCUUCCUGAGAGGAGGUGCUGUUCAGCCAGAGAGUUCCUUCAUCAGUUGGGAUUGUUGCCCUUCUUCACCGGAGAAGUUCUCCUGCUAGAUAGCAGGUUUUGAGCAUACCCUUUGGACUAACUAUAUUGUUAUGAUGAUUCUUCUAAGCUAGGCCUCAAGAAGAGGGAGCUCCAAACAGGAAUUUUGGGACAUGUGAGAAGUUGUUAAGUUCAAGGAAGGUGGCCUGAAUGAAUCCACGUGUCUUCACAGAAGCAAUGGUGGAAACUUCUUAAGGAUCUUUUAUUGCCCGAAUCAGCUCAUACUUAUACAGAAAUACAGGGUACACACAGCAACUUAUAAUUGGUUAGCACACAGAAAUCACGCGUCUUGCUUGCUAGCUAUUGGUACAGCAUUAAUCGUUACAUGGCUUUUUUUCACUGUUCUUUGCAUUCCACUGUCUUGAUCUCUUCCCAGGCUAGCUACCCCCUUAUAUUAACUGAAGCCUCAGUUUUUCUUCCUGCUUUGACAGCUUCAAAGUCUCAUAGUCUGGGUUGUGCACAUAGCACUCGAGCUCACAAAUCCUUGCUCCCUGAGCCAUUCUCCUACAUUAAGUUUUUUAUCCUUUUGAUUCCUGAAGUUUAUUCCUCAGAGACUGAAUUUAAGCUUGUAUGAAUGGGAAAUGGUGCACAACUCCUGAAUUUCUGGCACAUGAUGCAAAUGACAAAAAUUACAAAGGAGGUAGCUAUAGCUUAAAAUGAAGACCAAGAGUCUAUGUAAGUAUCCUUCUCAUGGGAAUGGACAAAACUUAUGACAGAACUUGAUGUCGCUUUACAUGUUGCUUGGACUCCACAAGGGUUGGCUUGUUCAUAUAUGUGAAUGUAUAUGUAGCUUAAGGUUAUUUAGCAAAUACUAGGCUUUAAAUGGAAUAAGGCUGUUAAUACAAUAUUCCUACCACUAUAGUAGACAGAAUGGAAUGUGUGAGCACUUGCACAAACACUGUUUUAUUGAUUUUCUAGUUUAAUAUAUUACUAAGUCAGAAGCUCUGGACAAUUCUUAUGUGGUGAGUUUAAAAUAGCUAUAUUUAUGUAGAUCCAAUAAGAAAAUUGAUAAGUCUAAGUGCCAGCUGCAAAAGAAGUGUCUCUCUAGUUUGUGGAUUGAUUUUUGUGUAGUGCUGACUAACAACUAUCUCCUUAGUGCAACUAAAGGCACCCUAAUUUAAAUGGGUGCAUGACCAGUCUAUUAGUAAACAAACUGGUUCAAUAGUAUUUUGUGGUACUUAAUGACAAAAAUAAGGUAAAAUGGAACUAGUUCCUAGGCAAUCAAAGGGUUAUUUGCUACUUUCUCUUGUAGCAAAGUGUUGAGUGACUUGGUUUUGCAGCUAUGCCAAUUGUAAGCGCUCUAAUUUGGAUUGAAGAUGCGCUUUAGAAAGGUUCCAAGGAAUAGUGAACCACAGAAAACCAGUGCUAUAGAGCAGUAUGUUGAACAUGAAAUGGUUUGCUUAUCGUUAUAUAGGCCUUCAUGCUCUCUGUUCAUUUAUACUUAAUAUUAAGUUAUAAGUUGUGGAAAGACUGUAGUUAUCUUUUGUUUCUCAUUGCUUCAGUAGACUUCAUCUGGUGUGCUUUUUCACUAUUGUCAUCUUUCCAUGACAAACAGUUUACUAAUUUAUUUCUGCAUUAAGACCCAAAGUUCUAUAGCUGCAUCCUUUAAUGUUUAGGGAUAAAUUCUGGAAUAAGUUCAGGGAUAAAUUUACUAAGCAGUACAUACCAUGUGGUAGAGCUUGUGGUAUGGAAAAGCAAAAUAAAAUACAUAUGCAUAGAACCAAUGUAUAUAGAAAGUAAGCAUAAGCUUCAAAAUGCAAGUUGAUCAGACAAAUGUGCACCUAGGAUACGCUGAAAUUAUUUAAAGAACUACAGUUUUAUCUUAUUAGGAGUGAUUGCUAGAAGGUUGUAUGUCAAGCUAGCACAAGGCAAGUGUAAUAUUGGGGGAUAGUACUGGGGGCAAAUAAAUCAAAUCCUUUCAGAGAGAACGAGGGAAUUCAGUGAGCUGUAACUAAUGUACAAUAAACAAAUACUACCUGAUGGAAGGAGCAAAUCUAUUACAAAUUGUCAGAGGCACUGCUCUGGGAAUGCAUGCUGUUAUUAUUACCUACUGUUAUUGAUACAGCCUUGUAGAAUAUAGGGAGUUUUUUUCUCCUAGAGGGGAGAUGGGUUUAACUGGUGAGUUAGAACUACAACAGUCUCUGAUAUAAAUGAGAAGGGGAUUUAUUUUCUGCAAUGCAUGUUUUUAUGUGUACUCUUCCAAUUUGAGCAAAAUUAGAAGUAUUGAAGUCUUAUGCAGCUGUCCGUGG
ensembl:lncRNA